rnacentral:rRNA from 1 species
AAUAAUCGGUAUGGGUCAUGAGAGUGAGAACCCAGAGACGGAAUCUGAGACAAGAUUCCGGGCCNUACGGGGCGCAGCAGGCGCGAAACCUUUACACUGCACGACAGUGCGAUAGGGGGAUCCCAAGUNCACAGGCAUAGCGCCUGUGCUUUUCGGUACCGUAAGGUGGUACCAGANUAAG